GCUGCCCCGUUCGGUUCUCGACGUCCCUUGUCGCAGUGGUAAAAAAAAUAUAUUUAAUGGCUGAUUAAAAAGAUUCUGAAUCUACUAGAGCGCAUAUAUUUGGAGAACGAUUUCCCUGAAUGUAUAAAAGAAGCCGCAACUUUGAAGAACUGCAUUCAGAUGUCGUUAUCACUGAUCUGUGAUUGUGGCUGUGAUCUGUGACUGUGAUCUGUGACUUGUGCAAACUUGUGGUUAAAUAUAUGAAUGAAGUGACAAAUUUCUACUUGGAUGGAUAAAUGUAAAUGAAUCGUCAUUUGUAACCAGACUUAAUCUAAAAGCUUGUGUUCAUUGCAAAGUGCUACCGAUUCGAAUCGAAUUAUUACCAUAGAUUUACUUGAAUAGGUGUGAUCACUGGGACACUUUUAAAGGAAAUACAAAGAUCUGUUCAUCUCAAGCUUUAUUUUUAUGUUUUUAAUAUUUCCCAAUCAAUUUGUUACAGUA